UUUUUCUAGAACCCAAUCAUCUUUCUCUAAUCCAAAAAAGUACUUGUCCACACAAGGUUGAUUAAUAAAGUUAAUCAGGAAAUAGUAAAAAUCAGCAGACCUGGAAAAUAAGGUGUUGAACGAACUGUGUGAAAGCUUCAAAAGUGUUGAUGGUUGAUAAACCUUCGUCUUUGACUUCUAAGCUGAAAGGUGAAAAUAAAAAGAAGAUGAAGGCUCAUAAGGUUUCAGGUGCUAAUGGUGGUGUGGGUAAGCCUAAGGGUACCUAUCAUUGCAAGUAUCCUGGUCAUUAUAAGAAAUAGUGUUGCGGCUACAUAGCUAAGAUGCAGAAACAAGGGGUUUUAGGAAACACGAUGCCUAAAUGAAAAUGAAUUGAACAUGUUUCAAGCAAAUGAGGAACCAACACCAGCCUUAGCUAUAGCAAAUAUUUCUAUUUUGUUUAGUAGUUCUAGAGUUUUAAGAUUGAAUAAUGUUCUUUACGUAUCUCUAUAAGAAGGAAUUUGAUUUCAGU